UCCCUGGUGGCUCAGACAGUAAAGAAUCCACCUGCAAUGUGGGAGACCUGGGUUCAAUUCCUGGGCUGGGAA
rnacentral:tRNA from 1 species